rnacentral:rRNA from 1 species
GACAGAUCGAUAGCUCUUUCUCGAUUCGGUGGGUGGUGGUGCAUGGCCGUUCUUAGUUGGUGGAGCGAUCCGUCUGGUUGAUUCCGAUAACGAACGAGACUCCGGCCUGCUAACUAGUGCGCCGAUGUGAGUGCGGCUUUCGGGUCGUGUGCGGGCUCGUGGGCGAUUUUUUGAUCGUCUCUCGUGUCCGGGUCGGUUUCUCACGCACUUCUUAGAGGGACGGGUGGCAGAAAGCCACACGAGGCGGAGCGAUAA